AAGUGAAAUUUAAAUCUUUAAUACUAAGCUUACGAAUAGUAGAAAUCUAGAGGCUGCGAAGCUCUGGAUUUAAACCAGGAUUAGAUACCCUGCUAUACCAGUGUUAGAAAGUGUUACUUGGGUAGUAAUCAGUUAUGAGCUAGAAAUCUAAAGAAUUUGGCGGUAUUUUAGUCUAUUUAGAGGAACCUGUUCUAUAAACGAUAAACCACGAAGAAUCUUACUUUGUUUUGUAUCUCAGUCUGUAUACCGCCAUAGUUUGAAUUUAUUGUAAAGUAUAUUUCAUAAUAGCUGUAUAGCUAAAAUCUUAGGUCAAGGUGCAGCCUAUAAUAAAGUCAGAAAUGGGUUACAAUAUAAUUAAUAUAUAAUGAAAAAAGAAAUGAAAUUUUUUUUGGAAGGAGGAUUUAAAAGUAACUUAUGUUUAAUAAGCUUAAGUGAGUUUGCUCUAAAAUAUGUACACAUCGCCCGUCGCUCCCGUUUCAAAGGUGAGAUA
rnacentral:rRNA from 1 species